AUCCAGUUGACGAGUCCCGGAUCAGACAAAACGCGCGUCCUGGAU
rnacentral:hammerhead_ribozyme from 1 species